CUACGGGGCGCUCCAGUAAGGAAUAUUGCGCAAUGGAGGCAACUCUGACGCAGCCAUGCCGCGUGCAGGAAGAAGGCCUUAUGGGUCGUAAACUGCUUUUAUUUAGGAAUAAACCCCCGAACGUGUUCGGGGCUGAAGGUACUAAACGAAUAAGCACCGGCUAACUCCGUGCCAGCAGCCGCGGUAAUACGGAGGGUGCAAGCGUUAUCCGGAUUUAUUGGGUUUAAAGGGUGCGCAGGCGGGCUAUUAAGUCAGUGGUGAAAUCCCGGGGCUCAACUCCGGAACUGCCAUUGAUACUGAUAGUCUUGAGUUUGGUUGAAGUGGGCGGAAUGUAGCAUGUAGCGGUGAGAUGCAUAGAUAUGCUACAGAACACCAAUCGCGAAGGCAGCUCACUAAGCCAAAACUGACGCUCAUGCACGAAAGCGUGGGGAUCAAACAGGAUUAGAUACCCGAGUAGUC
rnacentral:rRNA from 1 species